rnacentral:tRNA from 1 species
UCCCUGGUGGUCCAGUGGCUAAGAUUCUCUGUUCCCAAUGCAGGGGGCCCGGGUUCAAUUUCUGGUCAGGGAA